rnacentral:lncRNA from 1 species
CAGAUGGUUUUGCUGGUGUUUUUCAUGGUAAGGUUUUAUUCUCUACAGAAUUUGAUGAUUAGUAUUCUUUCUUCCUAUUUCUCGAUGCUGAUGAAGGCAAUAUUUAGGCUAGCAGGCAUUUAGAGGACCCUUCCUGAUGUUAGUUCAUAAUGGUGGAACUAGCUAGUAAGAAGAGCAAGUACCCAUCAUCCAGAGCUACGACCAAUAGAGCAUCCUCUCAUAAAGGUAGUUAGCUUAUUCUGGAUACUAUAUUGUUCCUUGAAUUGAUUAAAGCAUUAGCCUAAAUAUUAAGAGAAAAAAAGUAUUAUUGUCCCUUGCUACAAAUAAGUAAGAAGUAAUCUUUCGUCCUCCCUCAGGAAGCACCGGAUCAAACAAGGAUCUUGGGAUAUUUAGACACAUAAGAGCACUUAGCAGUGUUUUUGAGAAACUUACUUUGAUUCAAAGUCUUGGCUUUUAUUGUUAUACUUUAAAGCAGAUGACAACUAUAAUGUACAAUCCACUCUACUGGUUCAUUAAGUUCUUAGAAAUGCAUAUCUUCCAUUGACAAACAGGUGAAAGAUUUACAAUGGGAACAUGUAGAUGUAAAGUUCAUUAUAUAACCAAUGGUAGAAAAUAUGUGAUUUCUCUAAGAAAAACUUCAUAUGAUGAAUAAACUUUAAUUGUUUUAUGUAGAUAUACUUCAUUCCACCAUUUUAUUAUUAUUAUUAUUUUGUUUUUUUUGGAAUUGUUGUUGCAGCUCAUGGAGAGGCCCAGAAAGCAUCCAGAUCGAUUGGAACAUGAAUGACUAUUUUUUCUCUCUUGUAAAAUCAUAUUGAUAUGUUUGAGUGGAACUUUUGCUUUAUUAUCUUAAUCAUCUUUUAAUUCCAUAAUUUUUGGCUUGAUUGCCUUUGUCUGUUAUGUUUUGCUUCAAUUCAUGGCUUAACAGUAUAAGUGUUAAUAAAUCAAGCUU